rnacentral:rRNA from 1 species
AACGAACGCUGGCGGCAUGCCUAACACAUGCAAGUCGAACGAGACCUUCGGGUCUAGUGGCGCACGGGUGCGUAACGCGUGGGAGUCUGCCCUUUGCUUCGGAAUAACAGUUAGAAAUGACUGCUAAUACCGGAUGAUGUCUUCGGACCAAAGAUUUAUCGGCAAGGGAUGAGCCCGCGUAGGAUUAGGUAGUUGGUGGGGUAAAGGCCUACCAAGCCGACGAUCCUUAGCUGGUCUGAGAGGAUGAUCAGCCACACUGGGACUGAGACACGGCCCAGACUCCUACGGGAGGCAGCAGUGGGGAAUAUUGGACAAUGGGCGCAAGCCUGAUCCAGCAAUGCCGCGUGAGUGAUGAAGGCCUUCGGGUCGUAAAGCUCUUUUACCAGGGAUGAUAAUGACAGUACCUGGAGAAUAAGCUCCGGCUAACUCCGUGCCAGCCGCCGCGGUAACAC